rnacentral:misc_RNA from 1 species
AAGUCGUAACAAAGGUCUCCGUAGGUGAAUCCUGCGGAGGGGAAUCAUUUACAGAGUUCAUGCCCAUUGCGGGGUAGAUCUCCCACCCUGUGUUAUUAUUACUUUGUUUGCUUUGGCGGGCCGUUAGGGCUCACGCUCGACUACCGGCUUCGGCUGGUAAGCGCCCGCCAGAGGACCCAAAACCCUGAAUAUUAGUGUCGUCUGAGUACUAUUAUAAUAUGUUAAAA